UACGUAGGGUGCGAGCGUUGUCCGGAAUUAUUGGGCGUAAAGAGCUCGUAGGCGGUUUGUCGCGUCUGCUGUGAAAACUGGAGGCUCAACCUCCAGCCUGCAGUGGGUACGGGCAAACUAGAGUGCGGUAGGGGAGAUUGGAAUUCCUGGUGUAGCGGUGGAAUGCGCAGAUAUCAGGAGGAACACCGGUGGCGAAGGCAGAUCUCUGGGCCGUAACUGACGCUGAGGAGCGAAAGCAUGGGGAGCGAACAGG
rnacentral:rRNA from 1 species